rnacentral:rRNA from 1 species
UCGAGAAUUUUUCUCAAUGGGGGCAACCCUGAAGGAGCGACGCCGCGUGGAGGAUGAAGGCUUUCGGGUUGUAAACUCCUGUCAUUUGAGAACAAGUGUCGGCAAGUAACUACUGCCGACUUGAUAGUAUCAGAAGAGGAAGAGACGGCUAACUCUGUGCCAGCAGCCGCGGUAAUACAGAGGUCUCAAGCGUUGUUCGGAUUCAUUGGGCGUAAAGGGUGCGUAGGUGGCGUGGUAAGUCGGGUGUGAAAUUUCGGAGCUUAACUCCGAAACUGCAUUCGAUACUGCCGUGCUUGAGGACUGGAGAGGAGACUGGAAUUUACGGUGUAGCAGUGAAAUGCGUAGAGAUCGUAAGGAAGACCAGUGGCGAAGGCGGGUCUCUGGACAGUUCCUGACACUGAGGCACGAAGGCCAGGGGAGCAAACGGGAUUAGAUACCCCCGUAGUCC